rnacentral:misc_RNA from 1 species
AAAGUCGUAACAAGGUUUCCGUAGGUGAACCUGCGGAAGGAUCAUUAUCGUAGGGGGUCAAACCCCUAUUGAGAUAGCACCCUUUGUUUAUGAGUACCCUUGUUUCCUCGGCGGGGCAACCCGCCAUGAGGACCUUUAAAAACCUUAGUAGUAGUAGUAUCUUCAGUAAAAAAAACAAAUAUUAAAACUUUCAACAACGGAUCUCUUGGUUCUG